GACCACCAAGGCGACGAUGGGUAGCCGGCCUGAGAGGGCGAACGGCCACACUGGGACUGAGACACGGCCCAGACUCCUACGGGAGGCAGCAGUGGGGAAUCUUCCGCAAUGGGCGAAAGCCUGACGGAGCAACGCCGCGUGAGGGACGAAGGCCUUCGGGUUGUAAACCUCUGUUUUCAGGGACGAACAAAUGACGGUACCUGAAGAGUAAGCUCCGGCUAACUACGUGCCAGCAGCCGCGGUAAUACGUAGGGAGCAAGCGUUGUCCGGAUUUACUGGGC
rnacentral:rRNA from 1 species